rnacentral:lncRNA from 11 species
GGGGGAGGCAGAGUGCCAAUAUGGGCGGGAAGGUAUCUUUGAAGCACACAGAAACAUCUAUGACCCAACAAGGCACCCCAUCCACAGAGAACAGUCUCUUCCUGGGAUGGAUCAAGGCCUGCAAAGGGGGAGGAGGAGGAGGGUCCUUCCUUUGCUUGCACCACAAGGCAGUGUCAUAGAUGUCACAUAUCCUGUGCUUUGAUAUCGUCCCGGCAAAUGUGUGCACAACAAAGCCCAUCAGAGCCAUUGACUGAAGCCUCUUGAGAUGAAAUAGGAUUGAAUUCUACAAGAUAAAGCAACAGUAGGACUCCUCUACGGUAAAAGACCAAAAAGCUGGCUUCACCUUUAAAGAGCACCAGUAUACUCUGUUGGAACACAAACUCCAGCCAAGCCAUCAACAAAAGAAGCACAUUGGGUGGGAAUAGUGAUCAAAAUCAUCUGACAGGGGAAUCGAGAACAAUGUCAGAAGUCAUGUUUAAAUAUUUUCUACUAGACAUUUGCAGAACCUAGCUCCAGUGACAAACCAUGCAAUGCAGCAUUGACAUGAUCAACGUAUCCAUACCCAUAUCUUAGCACAACCCAUCAAUGCUGAAAGGAUUCACUAAUGCUUCAGUAGCAUGUUAGGAAUUGUGCUGGGAAAGGACUAAGGGAAUGAGUAAAGCAUUGAACAUCACAAAAUUACAGUGUCAUCUUAAAUUUUAUCCAAAGACUGCCCACCACUGAGGACCUGGAAUAUUUGCAGUUCCCAUUAUGAGCUAUGUUUCUGUAUUUUCUUGACACUCCGCUCAGGAUACCAAGGAACCCU